UUCUGAUAUCUUGGAUCUCGAGGCUCCUAUAGACUAUUUCUUGUAUCUAUUUCCACCUGAACUAAAAAGGAAAAUUUCUGAAGAGACAAACCUCUAUUUGAUACAGAAAGAUGCGAACAAUACUUUUCAUGUAUCUGAGAUAGGAAUACGACAAUUUACAGGUGUCGUUUAUCUCAUGUUACAAAUUCAGCUACCUCGGGUGACUAACCAUUGGGGCUCCAUCCUGGGUACAAACGUAAUUCAAGACACUAUGCCUUUUAGUAAAUUUGAAAAGAUUAGGCAGCAUCUUCAUUUCAACGACAACUCAAAGUGUCUCCAAAGGAACCAUCCUGAUGCCGAUAGAAUCUUCAAAAUUCGCCCAGUCGUUGAUGCCUUGAACAAGGCAUACGCCAAAGUUCCGCUAGAAAUACGUGUUUGUGUAGAUGAGCAAAUAUGCUCUACAAAAGCGCGAAAUACGCUAAAACGAUAUAACCCUAAGAAACCUCAUAAGUGGGGAUACAAAUUCUUUGUUUUGAGUGGUGUUUCCGGUUUCGCUUAUAAGACAGAGAUAGAAACAGGUAAAGAGAAUGUUGUCGGAGCCGACGAGCCAGAUUUAGGAGCAUCUUCAAACGUCGUAGUAUGAUUAUCGCGUAUGAUUCCACGACAACAAAACCACAGGAUCGAUUUCGAUAACUAUUUUACAUCUUUGCCUUUGUUGGAAUAUUUAUCAAAAGAAGGUAUUCUUGCGUUAGGCACUAUUAGAAGAAAUAGAAUUCCUGCAUUUGACAGCAUUAUGGGCACCUACAAGAUACGACUGAUGAGUAAACGUUGGCAGAUGCGCCUGUUCUAUCACUACUUAGAUCUAACUAUGGCUAACUCAUGGCUACUCUAUAAGAGGGUCUGCAAAUAUAAAAAUCCUACUGAUAAGACCAUCAUUGCAUCCGCAGGUUUUCGUCUGGAAAUUGCCGAAACUUUAUGCAAAAUGGGGACAAAACAAGGCUUGAUAACCCGACGAUCAAUAGAAGGUGAGCUUCUAGCGAAGAAACAUAGGAGACCUGCACAACAUGUGCCUCCACAAGUAGUCCGCCAAGAUCAAGUCGGGCACUGGCCUCAAUGGGCGGAAAAAAAAAAAUCCGAUGCAAGUUCCCGAAAUGUGCCGGGUUCACUCACACGGUGUGUGAAAAGUGCGGGUUAGCUUUAUGCUAUACCAAAAACAAAAAAUGUUUCAAGAACUUUCAUUUGUCCUGAAGGAUUUCCAUUUUACUCAUAAUUUUGCCAACUUUCUUUAUCACUGUUACUCAUUGUUGCCUGUAAGCUACACUCCCUUUUUUUUUGUUAUACAUACAUACAUAUGUGUUAUAAAUAAAGAGUUUCAAAAAAACAAAAUAAUUUCUGUAUAUUUUUCCCAUAAAACUAACCGAUUCCACUAAAAAUAGUUAAUUUGGAGGUUUUGAGUUAUAGAGGGUUACGCUAACGGUCACACAGCCGGCAAUUACAAACGGUAAAUGAAAAUUUCUUUUCAAUGAUUGCAACGCUUAUUUCGUUUUGGUAGAAAAAUCUGAAGUUUUAAAGUCAAAUUCUGAAAAUAAAAGCAAAGUCACAAAACUCGCUUGAUAUGCUGUGCUUUGUUGGCUGAGCGGGUUGUGUCGCGCGUUGACUAUUGUUUGUGUUGUGUGCGUGGCGCAGCCGAGAACGAGUGUCGUGUGUUGUUUUAACGGCUUUUCUGUGCUUCCUCGGUAGCACUCAAAUAUCCUGCCAGUGAUUUAACACGUUCGAGGACGCAAAAUUUUAGGGAGCUGCAAAAAUAUACAGGCAAUUAUUUUCAAAACUAGUAGUAAUAUCCGAAAUCUAAUUAGACAUACAUAUUAUAAGAGUAGUCAGAACAUCGUGUUUUAACCGUUAUAUACAAUGAAUGCUAUAGCAUCCACGACGAUAUAGAUAAUAUUUUUCAACCAGAAUGACGUGAGGAAAUUUGUAAAUACACGGAGAAAAGAUAAAAUAAUAGGAAAGUAUCUAAUGAACCAAUUGGUCAUUAUUUUGAAAUGUGUAUUAAUUACAAAAACUUAAGAUUGUAUAAAAUUAAAUGAAUAAAAAUUGGCUUUAAAAUUUGAAUGCUAUAGCAUUCACGUCAUUUUACAUCAGUAACUAUGAAAAUGAAUGCUAUAGCAUUCACGUCCGCGAACGUGUUAAGCUAUGUGUUGGUGGGUGAAUAUAUGUUAUUUUUUCUAGUAGCAAGCAAUAAUAUAUAAUUUUCCGCUUAUAUAAAGGGGGCUUUUGUGUUGUCAGGUAUACAGAAAUGUUUUUUUAAGUGCUUUGUGUAUGUGUAAUUGAUUCUAUUGCGAAAAAUUUGCACGGUUCCUACUUAUGUUCCCUCCUGGCAUGUAAAGUUUCUGCAAACGUGAAUUUGUAGUAAAGCAAAAAAAAAAAAAAUUAAUAAAUUGAAAAAAUCGUUAUUACUGUGCCAUUCCAGAAUUUUUGGGUAAAAGGACUUUACAUCCUUCUUAGUGCAUGGAUAUCCCACCACUUUGCAUGCGACCUUGCAUGAUGAAGUGACAAAAUAAGUCUGAAACACAAGAUUUAUUUUAUGGAAUGAUUUUAAGGUAUAAAGAAGUUGAAAAUAAAUAUAAGUGCAGCGUUGCAAACGAAAAAUAAUUUAUUGUUGUAAAUAACAUAAAACAUAUUGGAAAAUUGUAUAAUUUAUACUGUUCAAAUAUCAUUGCACAUGCUUACUUAUUAAGUAUCAGCAAAGCCGAAAUACUAUUAAAAACAAGUAAGGAAGGGCUAAGUUCGGGUGUCACCGAACAUUUUAUACUCUCGCACGAUAAAGUGAUAAUCGAGAUUUCAUUAUCAGUCAUUUACAUAUUUUUCAAAUACCGUAUUUGUGUAAAGUUUUAUUCCGCUAUCAUCAUUGGUUCCUAAUGUAUAUAUUAUACAGAGAAGGCAUCAGAUGGAAUUCAAAGGAGCGUUAUAUUGGAAGAAGGCGUGUUUUUGAACCGAUUUCACCCAUUCAUCGUACAUGUCAUCAGGGUGUUAAGGAAAUAUUAUAUACCGAAUUUCAUUGAAAUCGGUAUAGUAGUUCCUGAGAUAUGGUUUUUGGUCCAUAAGUGGGCGACGCCACACCCAUUUUCAAUUUUAAAAAAAGCCUGGGUGCAGCUUCCUUCUGCCAUUUCUUCCUUAAAAUUUAGUGUUUCUGACGUUUUUUGUUAGUCGGUUAACGCACUUUUAGUGAUUUUCAACAUAACCUUUGUAUCGGAGGUGGGCGUGGUUAUUAUCCGAUUUUUUUCCAUUUUUGAAAUGUAUAUGGAAGUGCCCAAAGGAAACAACUCUAUAGAGUUUGGUUGACAUAGCUAUAGUAGUUUCCGAGAUAUGUACAAAAAACUUAGUGGGGGGCGGGGCCACGCCCACUUUUCCAAAAAACUACGUACAAAUAUGCCCCUCCCUUAUGCAAUCCCGUGUGCCAAAUCUCACUUUAAUAUAUUUAUUUAUGGCUUAGUUAUGACACUUUAUAGGUUCUCGGUUCUCGCCACUUUGUGGGCGUGGCAGUUGGCCGAUUUUGCCCAUAUUCGAACUUAACCUUCUUAUGGAGCCACGAAAUACGUGCACCAAGCUUCAUCAUGAUAUCUCAAUUUUUACUCAAGUUACAGCUUGCACGGGCGGACGGACGUACAGACGGACGGACGGACAGACAGACAUCCGGAUUUCAACUCUACUCGUCACCCUGAUCACUUUGGUAUAUAUAACCCUAUAUCUGACUCUUUUAGUUUUAGGACUUACAAACAACCGUUAUGUGAACAAAACUAUAAUACUCUCCUUAGCAACUUUGAUGCGAGAGUAUAAAAAAAUGUUUACAAGUGGUGUAGUGAGUUCCAAGCCGGCCGUGAACGAGUCGAAGACGAAGAGCGUCCAGGGCGACCAUCAGCCUCAACCGACGAAGCUCACGUUCAACAAAUCAAAGAUUUGGUGUUGAAAAACCGUCGAUUAACAAUUAGUGACCUUGCUGAUGAAGUUGGCAUAUCCGAAGGCUCAGCCAAUACCAUUUUGAAGGAUGUUUUGGGCCUCAAGCGCGUCAAAUCUCGGCUGGUACCGAAAACAUUGAUGUUUUUGGAAAAAGGCGUCGCGUUGAAGUGUUUGAAACGAUGCUUUCCGACUACCAGGGUGUCAUGAAACGCAUUAUAACUGGCGAUGAGACUUGGAUCUAUGCUUCCUUCCAACCGGUCAAACAGUCAACAAGAAAUAUUAUUUGAACGUUAUGCUUCGUUUGCGUAACGCUAUCCGCCUAAAAAGGCCGGAAUUGUGGACAGACAAUUCUUGGUUUUUACACCACGAUAAUGCAUUAUCCCAUGCUGCCCUAGUAAUUCAUGAUCAUUUCGCCAAAAACUCAACCCAUAUCUUUCCGCAAUCCGUAUUCACCUGACCUGGCGCCGUGCGACUUCUGGCUGUUCACCAAGCUCAAAAAACCGCUCCGGGGGCAGUUUUUAUACGAUAGAGGAGAUUCAAGCCGCAGCGAAGACGGAACUGAUGACCAUCCCGGAAAGUGACUACAACAAGUGUUUCAAAGAUUGGAGAAUCCGUUGGCAUAAGUGCAUUGCAUCGGGAGGGGAUUACUUUGAACCUGAUGAAAUUGAUUUGGAAGAAUAAAUAAAGAAUUUUCAAAAUAAAUACAAUGUCUUAUUUUCUGGGCACCUUAUAUUUAGUUAUUUAAUAUAGUUUCCUAAAAUAGUAUAUAAGUAAUGAAAAUAUCUAAAUAAAAUUGUAAUGAAAUAUAUUCUCACUAAAAAAAUUUUUACUUUUCCUCCACCAGCGGUAAAAAUUUUAAGAUUCUUUGUUGAGUCAUCUUACAAAUCAAAGAAAUACUAUAUAUAAAAUUCUGAUUUCUUUGGCGCCGCGAUCUGAAAGUACCCUUGGAAAGCGGAAGCCUUCAUGAAAAAAUAUACCGGAUUAUAGUAACGCAAACGCUUAGAUUACUCGACUUAAAGUUAAAAAUUCCAACAAGCUAUUUCACUACAUUUAACACACUUUACGCACAUUUUUCACAUCAAAAUCUUUAAAUUAAACUGUAAACAUUUAAACAAAUUUACAUUACACACUUUUUGCUGGUGUUUUUUUUUCUUACUGGACAUCAUUUAUGUGCUAUGAAUUAUGAGGAAAUGGAAAGCUACCAUAUGGUCAUAACGCACUUGGCAAAAAUUCCUCUUUCUUUAUUUAGAAAUUUCCGUUCUAAUAAUUAAUACAAGUGCCUAUAUAAGAAUAUAUUUCAAAUUAAGAUGAGUAUAAAUACCCUUUCCAUGCAUAUACAUAGAUAUUGUCUUAUUUAAAUUUUAUAAACAAUAUAUAAUAAUAUUACGUAAUAAAUUACUUAGAUUACCCCGAGAAUUGGCUUGACCAGGGUUAUUUUUUUAGUCCGAAGGCCACCAACGCAGGAAGGAGUUUUACGCGAAAGUAUUUUAGUCACCACGGGUAUUGGCUCCACCAGCGUACUUUGUUCAUAAUGCCAAAAAUUUUAAUUUAUUCUUCAAAAUCUAUGUCAUCUACCACAAUGUAAUCCCGCUUGGCUAUUCUUCAAUGUGAGUAGCGAUUCACGAUUAAUGUCCUCAAUUGACUCAAAACGAUUUCCACGGAGCGGCCGUUUGAGUUUGCUGAGUUGUCAGAAGUCACACAGAGUUAAUUCAGUUGAACAUGGUGAUGGCGACAAGACACUAGUUGACAAUUUGGCUAAAAAUUCACGAAGAAUUAACGCAGUAUGCAACAGUGCCAUGUCGUGGUGCACAAACCAUACAUUUUACCAUUUUUCGAAUAGCUUUACGCAAAUGACGCAUAACAUAGAAUUUUUUGUUGACAGUUUAGCCGGUUGGAAGGAAUUCGGAAUACACCACACCUCGAUAAUCGAAGAAAACUAUCAAUAUAACAUUGAUUUUUGGCCUCCUUUGACGUGGUUUACCUUUGCAACGAUAUUUGGCCGAUUGAUCAUCUGUUUCCCGGUUGUAAGCAUAGAUCCAUGACUCAUCUUCAGUAAUAAUACGUUUCAUGCCAUCCUGAUAGUCGGAAAGCAUUGUUUCACAGACGUCAACGCGACGCUGUUUUAUUAGGCAUAAAUGAUCUUGAUGAUGGUCUUCACUUAUCCUUGCGGUUUCGUUCUUUCCUGGUUUUAAUUAGGUCAUAUUUGAUGUGAAAUAUUGUCAAAAUAAUGAAAACGGGUAGUCAAAUGGUGUCAAUUACGUUUUCUGGCAUAUUUAGCAAAUCACGGUCAUAUAAAAUGACAACCAAAUGAAAACAAUCAAACUUCGAUUUGUAGCAGCAUUAGACAUUUAAAUUUGAUUUGCCACGAUGUUGGUAAUUUGAUUUUGUUUGCCGUACGAACAGCUGCUAAAAAGGAUAACGUAUUUUCAAAUAGUUUUUUGACGAUUUCGAGGUAAGGUUUAUAUUAUUUUUUCAGGAUAUAAUUUAUUCGUUUUUGUAAUUUUUUUCAGUAACAUGGAACUUCCUUACCACUGAAUAUACAAACAGAACCCUUCGUGAGGCUCAAUAGCAUGAGGUGGCUGAAAUAUUAAAGAUGCGCCGAUCGGAAGUGGCAGCCAAAUGGAAUUCUUCCAGGCGGCCUUUAAUCGUAUAAGUCACACAAAAAGUGUACAAGUGCAGGAAGAGCGCCCACGAUGAGCCCGCUCUGUAUAUCAUUGAAGUUUCUAGAGCCGACUUAGCGUGAUGAAGCGAAUUUCACUUCAAAUCUAAUAAUUGGCAGUCCAUCAGCCUUGAGCUCUCCAACAACAUUGUUGGAAUCAGAAAUUAUAUCUAGGGAUAUACCAUCAAAGCCAUCCACAUCAUAUGGUAAUUUAUUAAACGUCGAGUGCAAAAAGUAUACUCAAGUAGUUGAAUGUGCGCUAGAAAUCUUCGCAUCAGCAACUAAAACAGAUGAUUGUCAUGAUUUAUGAGUUAUGAUGAUGAGAAUCUCCAUAAUUAACAAAGUAGUUCAAGCGGAACAUAUGUAUGUAUGUGAAUUGAUAUUCAACUACUAAAAGAGAUUAACAAGCUCCACAUCAUGCCGUUCAAAUUCGCAAAACUUUUUUUCUAUGCUAGUCAAAUGAAGUGUACUACUUUCCCUUUUUUAUAUUUUCUUCAACGUCAGAAAGCAAAUUUUUAAAAACCAAUAUCCAUUGCUAAAUUGAUUAUGUAUGUAUGUACAAUAGUUUGAAUAUUGAAUAAAACUGACUGAUGGAAACU